CGUAAUAGCUCACUGGUCGAGUCGGCCUGCGCGGAAGAUGUAACGGGGCUAAACCAUGCACCGAAGCUGCGGCAGCGACACUGUGUGUUGUUGGGUAGGGGAGCGUUCUGUAAGCCUGUGAAGGUGUGCUGUGAGGCAUGCUGGAGGUAUCAGAAGUGCGAAUGCUGACAUAAGUAACGAUAAAGCGGGUGAAAAGCCCGCUCGCCGGAA
rnacentral:rRNA from 1 species